CAGUAGCCGCGGGAAUACGGAGGGGGCUAGCGUUGUUCGGAAUUACUGGGCGUAAAGCGCACGUAGGCGGCUUGGUAAGUUAGAGGUGAAAGCCCGGAGCUCAACUCCGGAAUUGCCUUUAAGACUGCCGAGCUAGCAGGUGAGAGAGGUAAGUGGAAUUCCGAGUGUAGAGGUGAAAUUCGUAGAUAUUCGGAAGAACACCAGUGGCGAAGGCGGCUUACUGGCUCAUACUGGACGCUGAGGUGCGAAAGCGUGGGGAGCAAACAGGAUUAGAUACCCGAGUAGUCCCUGUCUCUUAUAC
rnacentral:rRNA from 1 species